ensembl:snRNA U6 U6 spliceosomal RNA
GUGCUCGCUUCGGCAACACAUAUACUAAAAUUGGAAUGAUACAGAGAAGAUAAGCAUGGCCCCUGCGUAAGGAUGACACGCAAAUUCGUGAAGCGUUGCAUAUUUAA